AUUUUAACAGGAUAAAGCCCCAAGUGCCCCCCAUUGAUGGAUGGAUCCUGGCACUUUUUAAUGCCAUGUGGAGAAUCCAGCGAGGAUGACAAGUCUGAGCAGCAGGAGGAAGACAUGCAAGUCAGAAAUGCAGUAAACAAUGAGCCAUCAACAGAGCAUUGGUUCAGGUUUGAAAGAGAACUGCAGAGUUCCAGUCAGAAAUAACAGAAGGAAGGAAAUAGAAGACUGUAGAAAGAGAAAGCAAGAAUAAAUUCAAAUAACAUAAUACUGAAAACA
rnacentral:lncRNA from 1 species